ensembl:lncRNA
CCCAGAACCUACACAUCAAACCUUCUAUCCACUCACAAACGUCUUCAACCAAAUCUCUUUUUCCCUCUCAAACUGGUACAAGCCAUACCGUUCCCUUCUCCCAAGAACCUUCAUCUAUGUCCCGAACCUCUUCACCACCUCUUAUCCGCCUAUUCAAAAACCCUACCCUUCAGUCCUUUGUUAGGACCCAUACAACUCCACCCUUCAGUCAGGCCUACCCUCUAUCCCUCCAGGUCCUUCCCAUCAAACCCACGAGCAGUUUACCUCCGCCUGAAAAUAGCCCACCUGGACACAAAACUCGAUCAAGGCAAACCAGUCCACCUCAGCUUCAAACAGCUGCACCUCUGAGCAGCCCUCCUCAACCUCAAACUUUGAGCGGUUCGACCCAAGUCCUUCUCCAAACUACCCCAACUCAAACUCAAGGUCAAGCUAGCUAUCCCCAGACAGACCAGUCCAAAUCUGUCCCACCAGCUGAGGCGUUGAGUAUCUUCCCCCUACCAUGGUCCCAGCCCCAUUCCCAAACCGCAGCCCCCCAGACACAUACCUUUGUGUGGAAGCAAACUCGUCAAUCCAUUGAGGGUAAAGAGGUCAAAGAUUCUCCGUCUCAAGCGAAGCUCAAAACCAUGGGUCCGAUCUUACCGUCCAUUCCUUCAACCACCCCUUCUACUUCUCUUUCAGUGUCUACCCCCUUUUCUUCAACCCGUACUUUGCUCACCUCUUCCUUUGUUCACCCCACCACUCCUCUUCAUCCCUCCGGGGGUUCAGCCCUGAUAUCCGUAGGGACAUCUUUCACCCAUGGCACUUUGUCAUCUUCUCCCUCUUCCUCCUCCAUGAAGAACCAACCCAAAACAGCUCCAGCCCUUUCUGCUCUCCCAUCUCCUUCCCCGAUCUCCAUUCCUCCUCAUUUGCCCCCAUUCCACCCUUUCUCUACUUCCCCAUUGCCAUCCUCCUUAACCUCUUCUACCAUACCUUUGUCAAACUCCUCCAACUAUUCACCAUUAGCUCCCUUGAUUUCCCCGGUCCCAUUAUCUACUUCUAUCUCGUCUCCUUUUACCUCCUCCCAAUCCAUCACAGGUUCAACCGUUUCCUCACCCUCUUUUCCCACCAUCCCCUCCUCAAGUGCCUCAUCAACCUCUUCCAAUUCCUCUCCCCCUUCACCUCCUUCUUCUUCUUCCUCAUCCAUCUCUACAUCUAUCUCAACAUCCUCCCCUUUAAACUUGUCUGCCACCUCUUCUUCUACCUCCCCUCACCCAGAACCCUCUCCAGCUCCCCGUCGCUCUCUCUACAACCCUCUCACAUCUUCCACCUGCUCCCCUGUGCCUUCCAAACAACUCACCAUAGGUCAGAGUCUGCCAAUCCAGAACCGCAUUGCAUCAUCUAAUCCUCAACCCGACCUCAAUCUACCAACACCAAGAACAGUGGUUCUCCCAAACCUAGACCCAAACUUCGACCUAAAUCUUGGCCACAAGUUGAAACCAAACCUUCCCAAAACCGACACCAAACCCAAACUUCCCCCCAAUCCCCCCGGAACUCCAAACAAGGAAGGGAAGUAUCCAGACGUAAUCCCCAGACACAGCGCGUGGGAGCUGGGCAUGCUGCUGGGCUGCUCGGCGGGCUUGGGCAUGGCGCUGGUGGUCGGGGUGAGGUACAUGUGUCGCCAGGCCUGCGGCAGACAAACAGAGGUGACGCUGAACGACAGGGAGACGGAGUACGGCAGAGGAGAGAGGGGGAUGCUCCAUGUCCAGGAGUGUGGAGAUCUGGUCCGAGUCCGGAGAAUCAGGGAGAACAGUUUUGUUCUCCUGGCAGAGUACGAUGUGCUGGCCUCCCCUGGAGACUGAAGAUGGUUGAUCAAUGCUGCUGGAAGGGCAGACAUAAUCACACUGGGUGAGGUGCCCUCAUGUAACAUCAGAUUCAACUGGAGUAACGUACUAACUGAAAAAUACAAAUAAACAAUUUACCUUGAUUAAUGGGAGCUAGAAAACAUGAAAACAAUGGUCAAACAUGAGGGGAACGUGGGUUUUAUCUGACUUUUGGCCCAGUAGCGUUGGCGCUUAAUGAUGUUCGUCAGUCCGUCUGUCAUCGUGGUCCAGAACAAGACAUCUGGGUUGCCUGAGAGUUCGUCACCAUUUGUUUAGCGCCACAACCAAGUUAAAAUGUCUCCUGCAACACAUUUGUUAUGCCUGACAACAUAUAUAAAUGUCUCGGCUGAUCACGAAAUUAGCCCUGGAGGUUGAAUCAUAGUCGGUGACUAUUUAGGCUUUCGUCUAGCACCACCAUUCGUGCUCUCUGAGAGAUGAACCCUUUCAGAUUUAGACUCCAUGAGUUUUUGACGGAGGCCGAAAUAUCAACUUCGUAACAUAAUUUUAGCUUUUUCUCCG